UCUCUAUGAAUUGAAGAAACACGUCUCCUUUAUCAACUGAAAAAUCUUUUAUUCUCUCUCUUUCCUUUCUCCAUCUCUUGUCUUUGUCUUUUUCAAUAUUUCAAGAAAAACUGCAAUCAUAGAAAAAGAUUUUUUUUGAAAAUGAGAAUGAAUCAGUAUCAAAUAAAUAAAUUUGGGUUUUUCUUUGCCGAAGAAGCAUCGGGCAAAUUGGAGUGUCAUGAACCAAGAUCUACUUUCAGGCUGAAGAAGCAACGGACAUGGAGAAGUUGGAAUUUCCUUUUGGCCAAAGAAUCAUUGGGCAGAUUGGAGUGCCAUGGACCAUGAUCAGCUUGCAUGCAUUUUAUAUAUAUAAAAUGAAUUUUUAAGGAAAAUCAUUUGUAAUUUGAAUACAAAUUUAUGGAUUUUAAAUCACUUGUUAUUUUGUUUUGUUCCUCUUGUUUUUCUUGCCUGCUAAAUAUUGAGUUUUUGAUGUGUUGGUUGUAUCCUUUUUAUUAGAGUUGGUAAC
rnacentral:lncRNA from 1 species